CAAAGACCACAACAUCAAGUGAAAUCCCUGGCUUCAGGAGAAAUGGAGAACAAAUGAUCAGGCAUAAUCACCAUCUUCAUGACCUUCAGGAUUGAAUACUGCCCCAGGUGUCUGAUGCCCUGCAUGAGAAUGAAGCUAUUCUAGAUCAGGAUGCAAAUGCUGUGGUUUGGACUGCUGUUCAUUCUUCUGAAGACGUAUAUGUUCUAUAUGAAGCAAAGAAAGACAGAGAAAGUGACUGACGGAUGAGUGGAAGGAUCCGAGAAUGAAGCAACAGUGGCCUGGACUAAACUCAUAGCUGUGGAAACAGAGGGAAAAGAACAGAUCCAAGAAUAAUUUCAGAGAAGUAAACAGAAUAAUUCAAUAAAUACUAGAAGAAGGAGGUGAGAUGUGGUAAAAAUUAUUAAUUUCCCAGGUUCAAAACCUAAUGCACCAAGAGAAUGACGAGGACAGCUGGGAAGUAAAGUUUGGAAAAGGACAUUAUCUUAGUACGAAACUUCAGAC
rnacentral:lncRNA from 1 species